rnacentral:rRNA from 1 species
UACGUAGGGUGCAAGCGUUAAUCGGAAUUACUGGGCGUAAAGCGUGCGCAGGCGGUUUUGUAAGCCAGAUGUGAAAGCCCCGGGCUCAACCUGGGAGCUGCGUUUGGAACUGUCAGACUAGAGUGCGUCAGAGGGGGGUGGAAUUCCGCGUGUAGCAGUGAAAUGCGUAGAGAUGCGGAGGAACACCGAUGGCGAAGGCAGCCCCUGGGAUGACACUGAGG